rnacentral:rRNA from 1 species
AGAGUUUGAUCCUGGCUCAGGACGAACGCUGGCGGCGUGCUUAACACAUGCAAGUCGAGCGGAAAGGCCCUUCGGGGUACUCGAGCGGCGAACGGGUGAGUAACACGUGAGUAACCUGCCCUGGGCUUUGGGAUAACCCUCGGAAACGGGGGCUAAUACCGGAUAUCCACAUGGUGUCGCAUGGUGGUGUGUGGAAAGUUUUUUCGGCCUGGGAUGGGCUCGCGGCCUAUCAGCUUGUUGGUGGGGUGAUGGCCUACCAAGGCGACGACGGGUAGCCGGCCUGAGAGGGCGACCGGCCACACUGGGACUGAGACACGGCCCAGACUCCUACGGGAGGCAGCAGUGGGGAAUAUUGCACAAUGGGCGGAAGCCUGAUGCAGCGACGCCGCGUGAGGGAUGACGGCCUUCGGGUUGUAAACCUCUUUCAGCAGGGACGAAGCGUAAGUGACGGUACCUGCAGAAGAAGCGCCGGCCAACUACGUGCCAGCAGCCGCGGUAAGACGUAGGGCGCGAGCGUUGUCCGGAAUUAUUGGGCGUAAAGAGCUCGUAGGCGGCUUGUCGCGUCGGUUGUGAAAGCCCGGGGCUUAACCCCGGGUCUGCAGUCGAUACGGGCAGGCUAGAGUUCGGUAGGGGAGAUCGGAAUUCCUGGUGUAGCGGUGAAAUGCGCAGAUAUCAGAGGAACACCGGUGGCGAAGGCGGAUCUCUGGGCCGAUACUGACGCUGAGGAGCGAAAGCGUGGGGAGCGAACAGGAUUAGAUACCCUGGUAGUCCACGCCGUAAACGGUGGGGCACUAGUGUGGCAACAUUCCACGUUGUCCGUGCCGCAGCUAACGCAUUAAGUGCCCCGCCUGGGGAGUACGGCCGCAAGGCUAAAACUCAA